AUUGGACCUGGCUCAAAAAGAGUUUGUGAUGGCAAGGAGGCUCAAUUAGAUAAAACUAAUAAAGAAUGGAGUAUGAACAUAAAUGUCUUUAUCCAAAAAGGUCACCCCCUAUAUGAUGUAGAAGCAACACUGUAGCCAAAAGGUCAAUAAUUAUGAGUUCAUAAUCCAAUAAACAAGCCAGUGGACAAGAAUCCAGAAUUCAAACACAG